GAUUCCAAUACUUACUGUACUAAUUGUACCUAGAAUUCAAUUCUUCUUUAAACAAAAAUGUAAAAGGAAAGCUGGAACAUUUGUUCUCCACAUUAUAAGGUGUUUGUUUUGUUUUUGUCAUUUUCUUGAAAGGUGAAUUUCCAUUCUUUAUUUUACUUUGUUAUUUUGCCCAAAGAAAUUCCAGCAGUGUCCAUAUAACAACAUUACUCGAUGCGCUCACUAUCGUACAUGCAGCCCGUCUUCUUGAUUAAAUAUUCAACACAGCUUAAAAGGCAGGUGCAUCGUUCCAUUUUCUGCGACACGAGGAUGGGAGAUGGUUUGAAAUUGUUUUGUUGCAUUAUCAGCCAUUUCAAAGUCACUUUGAUUUUUCACUCUUAUCUUUGAUUAAGUCAAAGUUUUAAAUAUGAUUUACAAAAUAAUACAAAUACAAAAAAUAACAACAAAACUUACAAUAAAAUUACAAUGUUGGUGGAAACCCGGUGUGACAUAGAUUAUUCAGCAAUGUGAAUGUAGUGCUACCUUAGCAUG